rnacentral:rRNA from 1 species
UACGUAGGGGGCUAGCGUUGUCCGGAUUUAUUGGGCGUAAAGCGCACGUAGGCGGCUUUCUAAGUCGGGGGUGAAAUCCUGGAGCUCAACUCCAGAACUGCCUUCGAUACUGGAAAGCUCGAGUCCGAUAGAGGGGCGUAGAAUUCCGGGUGUAGCGGUGAAAUGUGUAGAGAUCCGGAGGAAUACCAGUGGCGCAAGCGGCGCCCUGGGUCGGUACUGACGCUGAGAUACGAAAGCGUGGGGAGCGAACGGG